UUGGAGACAGUAAUGCCUGACAUUGAUUUAAGAAGUUGGACUAAACAACGGGAAUGUACAAUAGGGGAAAUAUGUGAGAAUUAUCAAAUAUUAUCUUUUGAUAAAUUGAACCAAAAAUUUAACCUGUCUCAACAAGAUAUAUUUAAAUACCACGGGUAAUGGGGAAUCAGGGUUCCAUUCCGUACAGGGACCCUGAGAAACGGCUACCACGUGCAAGGAAGGCAGCAGACGCGUAAAUGACCCACUCCCAUCGCGGGAAGGUAGUGACAA